rnacentral:rRNA from 1 species
UACGUAGGGUGCGAGCGUUAAUCGGAAUUACUGGGCGUAAAGUGUGCGCAGGUGGCCGCGCAAGUCGAGUGUGAAAGCCCCGGGCUUAACUUGGGAAUUGCGCUCGAAACUACGUGGCUCGAGUGUGGCAGAGGAAGGUGGAAUUCCACGUGUAGCGGUGAAAUGCGUAGAGAUGUGGAGGAACACCGAUGGCGAAGGCAGCCUUCUGGGCCAACACUGACACUCAUGCACGAAAGCGUGGGGAGCAAACAGG